AGAAAGCCGAUCGAAGCAUCAUAGCCGAAGGCGCUGGGAAGCGCCGCCGGAGAGGGCGACAGUCCCGUAGGCGAAAUGGUGGUAGAGGGCGAGCGGAGAUCCUGAGUACGGCGGGACACGAGAAAUCCUGUCGGAAGCAUCGGGGACCAUCCCGAAAGGCUAAAGACUACUGCGUGACCGAUAGCGAACCAGUACCGUGAGGGAAAGGUGAAAAGAACCCCGGGAGGGGAGUGAAAGAGAACCUGAAACCAUAUGCCUACAAGAAGUCAGAGCCCGUCAAAGGGUGAUGGCGUGCCUUUUGUAGAAUGAGCCGGCGAGUUGCUUUUUCAGGCGAGGCUAAGCAGGAUAUGCGGAGCCGAAGCGAAAGCGAGUCUUAAUAGGGCGAGCAGUCUGAAGGAGCAGACCCGAAACCGGGUGAUCUAGCCAUGGACAGGUUGAAGUCGGGGUAAGACCCGAUGGAGGACCGAACCGACCCCCGUUGAAACGUUGGCGGAUGAUCCGUGGCUAGAGGUGAAAUUCCAAACGAACCCGGAGAUAGCUGGUUCUCCCCGAAAUAGCUUUAGGGCUAGCGUCGCGAGACGGCAUGCGAAGGUAGAGCACUGAAUAUGCGAUGGCCUCAUCCCGAGGUACUGAGCAUAAUCAAACUCCGAAUGUCGCACGUCCAGUCGCGGCAGUCAGUCCGCGGGUGAUAAGGUCCGCGGACAAGAGGGAAACAGCCCAGACCAUCAGCUAAGGUCCCAAAGUGCAUGCUAAGUGGAAAAGGAAGUGGAGACGUGCAGACAACUAGGAGGUUGGCUCAGAAGCAGCCAUCCUUCAAAGAGUGCGUAACAGCUCACUAGUCGAAUGACUCUGCGCCGAUAAUUUACCGGGGCUAAGCAUGACACCGAAGCUAUGGAUUCGAAUGAAUGGUAGGGGAGCGUUCCAUGCGGCGAAGAAGCGCGACCGAGAGGGCGCGAGGAGCGCAUGGAAGAGAGAAUGCCGGCGUGAGUAGCGAGACGUGGGUGAGAAUCCCACGCACCGAUGGCCCAAGGUUUCCAGAGGAAGGUUCGUCCGCUCUGGGAGAGUCGGGACCUAAGGAGAGGCCGAAAGGCGUAUCCGAUGGACGACGGGUGGAGAUUCCCGUACCCCAUCGAGAGCGAGGGAGUGACGGAGACGGCAGGAGCGACCGGCUGACGGAAUAGCCGGGGCAAGCGAAGCAGCCGCGCAGCAGGCAAAUCCGCUGCGCA
rnacentral:ncRNA from 1 species